UCUUCCAUGGCCACCGGGCUCGCACCAAAGGACCCGCCUGUCACGCGGGUGACCCGGGUUCGAUUCCCGGCGGGAGAG
rnacentral:tRNA from 1 species